AGCAGCCGCGGUAAUUCCAGCUCCAAUAGCGUAUAUUAAAGUUGUUGCAGUUAAAAAGCUCGUAGCUGAAUUUCGGGACCAAUAUGUUGGUCGUGUCUAGGUACGUACUGGCAUUAUUGGUUUCUUCCUUCUGAAGAACCGCGAUGUCAUUAAUUUGGUGUCGUGGGGAAUCAGGACUGUUACUUUGAAAAAUUAGAGUGUUUAAAGCAGGCUCACGCUUGAAUACAUUAGCAUGGAAUAAUGAAAUAGGACGUUUGAUUCUAUUUUGUUGGUUUCUAGGAUCGACGUAAUGAUUAAUAGGGAUA
rnacentral:sRNA from 1 species